rnacentral:rRNA from 1 species
UACGAAGGGGGCUAGCGUUGCUCGGAAUUACUGGGCGUAAAGGGAGCGUAGGCGGACAGUUUAGUCAGUGGUGAAAAGCCCCAGGGCUCAACCUUGGAAUUGCCAUUGAUACUGAUUGUCUUGAGUAUGGGAGAGGUGUGCGGAACUCCGAGUGUAGAGGUGAAAUUCGUAGAUAUUCGGAAGAACACCAGUGGCGAAGGCGGCACACUGGCCCAUUACUGACGCUGAGGCUCGAAAGCGUGGGGAGCAAACAGG